rnacentral:lncRNA from 1 species
AAGCGUGCCAAGGCAGAGGCUGCCAAGUCUAAAAUAGCCUUUGUAGAAAAACAUGCCAUUAUCCUACAACAGGAAGCAAUGUUAGAGGAACAAGCCCUGUUCAGACAAAUUGAAAUGGAACAGGAAGCAGCACACAAAAAGGCAGAAAUGGAACAGGAAGCAGCACACAAAAAGGCAGAAAUGGAACAGGAAGCAGCACACAAAAAGGCAAAAAUGGAACAAGAAGUCGCUCAGGAGGCCGCACAGAGAACAGUUCAAUUAGAACAAGAGGCUAUGCGCAGGAAGGCUCAAAUGCAACAAGAAGCCGCACGAGUAAGCCGAG